ACUUUGAUCUCCUUUCUGUAAAAUCUCUAGGUUUAGGGUUUUGGUUUUGCAUCUAAAAAAAUGGAAGCAAACCAACUACUCAAGGACAAGAAAUUCUGGUUCGCUUCUUUCCUCAUUGCCUGGGCUGCUGCUUUGCAGGGGCAUAUGAUGUGGCUGCAGAGGCAGGACUCCUUCAAGCAGAAGUUUGGGACAUUGGAUCAAAGCGAUAAUGACAAUAAUAAUCCCCAAGAGUGACCCAAAUAAGCUUCAUGGUUCAACAAUUUGGCAAAAGAGUGAAUAUGAAAGAGUACUAGUGAAGAAACUGAUUCAGAGAUCUAUAUGUAAUGAAAAAUGCAAUUCUUGAAUUUCAAAUUUUGCUUCAUAAUGGUAUCUGUUUUGAACUAAUACUCUUGGGCUCGGUAAUCUGAUUAUUAUUAAAGCAAUCUGGUAUAAAAUGUUGAGUAAAUUCAUUCUAAUUCUGGGUAUGUGAUAGUUUUGUAAACGCUUUUCUGUUGGGGAUCUGUCCUUUCAGAGGAGGAAGGGGGGAAAAUGAAUUAAUAAAACAAUAUUCAGCAUGUUGAGAUGGGGAAAAAUGCUCGACCCCUCAUGCAUAAUGAAGUAAUUGAGCUAAUGAUAUCAAUUAAAUUCUAUGUUUGUAUAUGUGUUAAUCAUGUUGCAUUGUAUAGGUUUUGUAUGAUUAGGAUGCUCCAAUGGUGUAUAAACUGUUGAAGGCAAGUGCACAGGGUUGAAUUCUGAGAGAGCUGCUACUUCGUCCAAAUGUGUUUAAAAUGGCAAGGCAUAGUCUACAACAUCACAGCCCUGGAACAUGAUUCGGUGGAAGCAUUCAAUGAUGGCCUUAUGGAUGUAAUCUGUUGAUUUUGUAAGAUUUGGGAUACCAAACUUUGCAGUGAAACCAGCUGGCCAAAAUCGAAAAUGGAAUUUUGGUUUGAUAGGAAAUAUUUCGUUAAUUUUCAAAGACUUGGUUGCAAACUUGUAGUGAUCAGCUGUAGAUUGAGAUAUUAAGUUCUGUGGGCUAUCACUUUGAAUCUCUAUGGAUGUCACAUUAUUCAGCAUAAAAAAGUCUGAGAAAAUUUGGCACUA